GGNGCUCUCCCAUAUGGUCGACCUGCAGGCGGCCGCGAAUUCACUAGUGAUUAGAGUUUGAUCCUGGCUCAGAUUGAACGCUGGCGGCAGGCCUAACACAUGCAAGUCGAACGGUAACAGGAAGCAGCUUGCUGCUUUGCUGACGAGUGGCGGACGGGUGAGUAAUGUCUGGGAAACUGCCUGAUGGAGGGGGAUAACUACUGGAAACGGUAGCUAAUACCGCAUAACGUCGCAAGACCAAAGAGGGGGACCUUAGGGCCUCUUGCCAUCGGAUGUGCCCAGAUGGGAUUAGCUAGUAGGUGGGGUAACGGCUCACCUAGGCGACGAUCCCUAGCUGGUCUGAGAGGAUGACCAGCCACACUGGAACUGAGACACGGUCCAGACUCCUACGGGAGGCAGCAGUGGGGAAUAUUGCACAAUGGGCGCAAGCCUGAUGCAGCCAUGCCGCGUGUAUGAAGAAGGCCUUCGGGUUGUAAAGUACUUUCAGCGGGGAGGAAGGGAGUAAAGUUAAUACCUUUGCUCAUUGACGUUACCCGCAGAAGAAGCACCGGCUAACUCCGUGCCAGCAGCCGCGGUAAUACNGAGGGUGCAAGCGUUAAUCGGAAUUACUGGGCGUAAAGCGCACGCANGCGGUUUGUUAAGUCANNUGUGAAAUCCCCGGGCUCAACCUGGGAACUNGCAUCUGAUACUGGCAAGCUUNGAGUCUCGUANAGGGGGGUAGAAUUCCAGGUGUAGCGGUGAAAUGCGUA
rnacentral:rRNA from 1 species